rnacentral:lncRNA from 1 species
UUUCUACCUAGGCAGAAAUGGGAUUCCAGCCAUCUUCUUGUCUUUCUAGGGUUGAUUUCUCCCUUCUUAAUUUUGUAAAAGGCAGUUCUGCCUGAAACAGUAUUUUAUUAUUAUCUAUUCUGGCCAGAACAACCAUUUGAUACUGAGAUAGAUUAUGAAAGUCCUCACCAGUCUGAGGCAAGAAAAGAACUUACCUGGGAGAUAUUCCUCACCCAAAUUCACAAUCCUUUGUUUUAGAAGUCAGUAACUUGAGGCGC